UACGUAGGGGGCAAGCGUUGUCCGGAUUUAUUGGGCGUAAAGCGCUCGCAGGCGGUCCGUCGCGUCGUGCGUGAAAGACCCCGGCUCAACUGGGGAGGGUCGUGCGAUACGGGCGGACUGGAGGCCAGUAGGGGGAUGCGGAAUUCCGGGUGUAGUGGUGGAAUGCGUAGAGAUCCGGAGGAACACCAGCGGCGAAGGCGGCAUCCUGGACUGGUCCUGACACUCAGGAGCGAAAGCGUGGGGAGCGAUCCGG
rnacentral:rRNA from 1 species